GACGAACGCUGGCGGCGUGCUUAACACAUGCAAGUCGAACGGAAAGGCCCUGCUUUUGUGGGGUGCUCGAGUGGCGAACGGGUGAGUAACACGUGAGUCACCUUCCCUUUACUUUGGGAUAACUUCAGGCAACUGGUGCUAAUACCUGAUAGGAGCUCCUGCUGCAUGGUGGGGGUUGGAAAGUUUCGGCGGAUGGGGAUGGACUCGCGGCUUAUCAGCUUGUUGGUGGGGGAGUGGCUUACCAAGGCUUCGAAGGGUAGCCGGCCUGAGAGGGUGAACGGCCACAUGGGGACUGAGAUACGGCCCAGAGUCCUACGGGAGGCAGCAGGGGAGAAUAUGGCACAAUGGGCGGAAGCCUGAUGAAGAAACGCCGCGAGCGGGAUGAAGGCCUUCGGGUUGUAAACCGCUUUAGCCUGUGACGAAGCGUGAGUGACGGUAAUGGGUAAAGAAGCACCGGCUAACUACGUG
rnacentral:rRNA from 1 species